rnacentral:rRNA from 1 species
UGGGCAGGUUGAAGGUUGGGUAACACUAACUGGAGGACCGAACCGACUAAUGUUGAAAAAUUAGCGGAUGACUUGUGGCUGGGGGUGAAAGGCCAAUCAAACCGGGAGAUAGCUGGUUCUCCCCGAAAGCUAUUUAGGUAGCGCCUCGUGAAUUCAUCUCCGGGGGUAGAGCACUGUUUCGGCAAGGGGGUCAUCCCGACUUACCAACCCGAUGCAAACUGCGAAUACCGGAGAAUGUUAUCACGGGAGACACACGGCGGGUGCUAACGUCCGUCGUGAAGAGGGAAACAACCCAGACCGCCAGCUAAGGUCCCAAAGUCAUGGUUAAGUGGGAAACGAUGUGGGAAGGCCCAGACAGCCAGGAUGUUGGCUUAGAAGCAGCCAUCAUUUAAAGAAAGCGUAAUAGCUCACUGGUCGAGUCGGCCUGCGCGGAAGAUGUAACGGGGCUAAACCAUGCACCGAAGCUGCGGCAGCGACGCUUAUGCGUUGUUGGGUAGGGGAGCGUUCUGUAAGCCUGUGAAGGUGUGCUGUGAGGCAUGCUGGAGGUAUCAGAAGUGCGAAUGCUGACAUAAGUAACGAUAAAGCGGGUGAAAAGCCCGCUCGCCGGAAGACCAAGGG